rnacentral:misc_RNA from 1 species
GUUGCCAGUUAGUUCAUUGAUAAAGUUGUUGUAAAACUCUAAACCCUUUGGGUUGACAUCCCCUCUUCCGUUAGGAAUUAGUCUUGACCAAGAGAUUGAGAACCUAUAUCCUUCCAAUCCCAUCUCUUUCAUUAGCUUGACAUCAUCCUUGUACUUGUGAUACCCAUCUGCAGCAAUAUCUGCUGUUUCAUUACCAGUAUGUGUUAAGGUGUCCCAGAUGCUGGGAGUUCUUCCGUCCUCAGCUGCAGCUCCUUCAAUCUGAAA